GGUCGCGUGGCCCAAUGGCAAGGCGUCUGACUACGACUCGAUCGCUGAGAUCAUCUCGGGGAUUCAAGUACAUCAGGAGAUUGCGGGUUCGAUCCCCGUCGUGACCU